CAUGCAAGUCGAGCGGAUGACAGGAGCUUGCUCCUGAAUUCAGCGGCGGACGGGUGAGUAAUGCCUAGGAAUCUGCCUGGUAGUGGGGGACAACGUUUCGAAAGGAACGCUAAUACCGCAUACGUCCUACGGGAGAAAGCAGGGGACCUUCGGGCCUUGCGCUAUCAGAUGAGCCUAGGUCGGAUUAGCUAGUUGGUGAGGUAAUGGCUCACCAAGGCGACGAUCCGUAACUGGUCUGAGAGGAUGAUCAGUCACACUGGAACUGAGACACGGUCCAGACUCCUACGGGAGGCAGCAGUGGGGAAUAUUGGACAAUGGGCGAAAGCCUGAUCCAGCCAUGCCGCGUGUGUGAAGAAGGUCUUCGGAUUGUAAAGCACUUUAAGUUGGGAGGAAGGGCAUUAACCUAAUACGUUAGUGUUUUGACGUUACCGACAGAAUAAGCACCGGCUAACUCUGUGCCAGCAGCCGCGGUAAUACAGAGGGUGCAAGCGUUAAUCGGAAUUACUGGGCGUAAAGCGCGCGUAGGUGGUUUGUUAAGUUGGAUGUGAAAGCCCCGGGCUCAACCUGGGAACUGCAUUCAAAACUGACAAGCUAGAGUAUGGUAGAGGGUGGUGGAAUUUCCUGUGUAGCGGUGAAAUGCGUAGAUAUAGGAAGGAACACCAGUGGCGAAGGCGACCACCUGGACUGAUACUGACACUGAGGUGCGAAAGCGUGGGGAGCAAACAGGAUUAGAUACCCUGGUAGUCCACGCCGUAAACGAUGUCAACUAGCCGUUGGGAGCCUUGAGCUCUUAGUGGCGCAGCUAACGCAUUAAGUUGACCGCCUGGGGAGUACGGCCGCAAGGUUAAAACUCAAAUGAAUUGACGGGGGCCCGCACAAGCGGUGGAGCAUGUGGUUUAAUUCGAA
rnacentral:rRNA from 1 species